UGGGAGGCCAAGGUGGGUGGAUCACCUGACGUCAGAAGCUCGAGACCAGCCUGGCUAACAUAAUGAAGCCCCGUCUCUACUAAAAAUACAAAUAUUAGCCGGGCAUAGUGGCACGUGCCUGUAGUCCCAGCUUCUCGGGAGGCUGAGGCAGGAGAAUCGCUUGAACCCGGGAGGCGGAGGUUGCAGUGAGCCAAGAUCACACCACUGCACUCCAGCCUGGGCGACAGAGGGAGACACUGUCUCCAAAAGAAAGAAAUCCCAGCGUAGAUCCAAACUGAGACACUGAGGCUUCGUCCUUAUAGUAGUCAGGAGCAGGCGAUUGAAGUAAUUCUGUCCUGCGGGGUUCAGCAUCAUGCACGUUCCCCCUGGGCCAUUCUCUGAUGCAGGGCACUUGCUCCACACUCUGGGAACCCAGAUUCACCAGUCUGCCCUGUCACGUAGUUGAAGGAGUUGCAUUUAUCUUUCUGGCUCCUAAUUCCUUUAAAAUUACAUUUGUUGCAGAACCUCCACAAGGCUAAAUAAAAUUACAUUUGUGACCAUCAGAGAACUGAAUAAACCAUUAACUGGCCAUCCUGGUUUUGCAGAGAUCAGGUUGUUGACAGUUCCUGGUUGACCCACAGCUACCCAUGUCAGUUAUCUCCACUAACAUAUCCAAGAAUCUUUGUAGGACAAUUUCUCCACCUGCAAGGUCUUUCAGGUAGAACUCUUCUUUUAAGGCAAUUAGCCCAUUGCCAAAAGGUUUUACUGUCUUAAAGCUGUCUUUCUGAGAUCUAAUUCCAAGGACUUCUCCACAGCUAAGUGAGAUGCCUCACACCAUUAGGUGAUGCUUUGGACAGAACAGAGUAUUUUCAUCUUGUGUUUAAAGCAAUUCCUUGGCUUCGGCUCCUCACCACUUUCUAUGCCAGUCUCCCAUUUAUGUCCCUAGUAAUGCCUAUGCAAAAAAAAAAAAAGAAAAAAAAGAAAAACUGAUGGUGAAACCUACAGGUUUAAGGGCUUAAAUCUCAAACUUUGUUAGGAGUAACAGGAGCGUGCUGAGCGGGCAAGCAAUAAAACAAAUCAUACCAAAAAGCCACAUUGCUCUCUCCUAAGCCCCAACCCCACUCCACUCCUGUGGCCAGGGGUCCAAACAGAAAAUAACCGGAGAAGACAAGGAGGUCAAAGGAUCAGGGAACUAAGCAUUAUGUGAAUUCACCAGCAAGAUGUACAGAACGCCUGUGUUUACAUUGUUUUUAUGGAACUAGCAGAAUAAAACAUCUAUUUUAAAAAUGAAAGCCAUUGUUUCUCUAAUUUAUCUGACAAAGUGAGCAGCUUAAAUUCUGUGAAACAUCUUUAUAGUUUAUGAACUUUUUUAUAUUCCUUCUGGUAAG
rnacentral:lncRNA from 1 species